ACUCCUACGGGAGGCAGCAGUGGGGAAUCUUGCGCAAUGCGCGAAAGCGUGACGCGGCAACGCCGCGUGGGGGAAGAAGGCCUUCGGGUUGUAAACCCCUUUCAGGAGGGACGAAGGUCGGGCGGUGAAUAGCCGACCCGACUGACGGUACCUCCAGAAGAAGCCCCGGCUAACUACGUGCCAGCAGCCGCGGUAAUACGUAGGGGGCAAGCGUUGUCCGGAAUUAUUGGGCGUAAAGAGCGUGUAGGCGGUCCGGUAAGUCGGCUGUGAAAGUCCAGGGCUCAACCCUGGGAUGCCGGUCGAUACUGCCGGACUAGAGUUCGGAAGAGGCGAGUGGAAUUCCCGGUGUAGCGGUGAAAUGCGCAGAUAUCGGGAGGAACACCUAUGGCGAAGGCAGCUCGCUGGGACGUUACUGACGCUGAGACSCGAAAGCGUGGGGAGCAAACAGGAUUAGAUACCCUGGUAGUCCACGCCGUAAACGAUGGGCACUAGGUGUGGGAGGUGUCGACUCCUCCCGUGCCGGAGCUAACGCAUUAGGUGCCCCSCCURRGGRGUACGGCCGCAAGGCUAAAACUCAAAGGAAUUGACGSGAWUCG
rnacentral:rRNA from 1 species